GAAGUUCAAUGUUUUUCUGGAUUCUGGAAUGACUGUGCCCUUUGCAAUGGAUCUAUUAGAAUAUUCUUUUUUGCAUCUUAUGCUUAUAUUCAUUUUGCUUGACCUAUUGCUUCAUUGUGCUGUUCUGGAAUUAAUGUGUUAUGCUGCUCAUUUCAAUUUAUCUACUAGAAUAUGGUUCUUUCAUUGUAUGUCCGGCUUUGCUUUGAGUCUAUGAAAAGUUGAAACACUUGAGUAAAGCUGUGUUGUCAGGAAAUGCUUUGCUCUUGCACCACUAUUCUAAUUAUUUUUUGGUAAAUGACCGAAUUUCUUU
rnacentral:misc_RNA from 1 species